rnacentral:rRNA from 1 species
CAGUGAGGAAUAUUGGACAAUGGGCGCAAGCCUGAUCCAGCCAUGCCGCGUGCAGGAAGACGGUCCUAUGGAUUGUAAACUGCUUUUAUACAGGAAGAAACACUCCUUCGUGAAGGAACUUGACGGUACUGUAUGAAUAAGCAUCGGCUAACUCCGUGCCAGCAGCCGCGGUAAUACGGAGGAUGCAAGCGUUAUCCGGAAUCAUUGGGUUUAAAGGGUCCGUAGGCGGUUUAAUAAGUCAGUGGUGAAAGCCCAUCGCUCAACGAUGGAACGGCCAUUGAUACUGUUAAACUUGAAUUAUUAGGAAGUAACUAGAAUAUGUAGUGUAGCGGUGAAAUGCUUAGAGAUUACAUGGAAUACCAAUUGCGAAGGCAGGUUACUACUAAUAUAUUGACGCUGAUGGACGAAAGCGUGGGGAGCGAACAGGAUUAGA